CCUGGUAACAACAAGGUGCCCUGGUUGGAGGCUAGAUGUUGCACAGCUGAGGAGCUUUACCAGGAAAAAAUCACUCAGGAGUGGUAGGAUGGGAUUUAGAUGGCAAAUACAAAAUCUGGCUGCUGCUUUUGCAGCUCUCUGCUAAUGCUGGAGGAGAUAUUUUCAUCGUCAUUCAGGAAAAUACAGAACAUACCAAGAAGAUUAAAUCCCUUUGACUUAAAUCUCAUAAAACUCAGCUCAUAAAACAUGUUUUCCCCUUUAUGCUACUUGCUACCACCACAGAGUGUAUUAAACCCACAAAAAGUACACGUCUUUGUGUAAAUUACGCUUCCUGGGUGCAUUCAUCCCUGGCUUUAUAGGAUGACUUGUCCUGUGCCUAAUCCCCCUGCCUUCUUGUCCAAAGCAAGCAUGUUAAAAUGUUCUUAACAAUGCCUCGAAAGAUGAGAAGCUUGGGAGCAAGUUAAAAAUCAGUGGCCUGGAGAUGCAAAGCUCCUACAAACAUUACAACCCAGCCAGAGUGUGAAACAGAACAAUUUCUCCUCCCUCAGCACCCUCUUUAAGGCAAAAGAGGAGUACUGAUUAAAUGUGUGCACCACUUCUUCAAGCAAGCCCCUGCUCUUGCCCAGCAGCCACUUUCGGCCGGCCGAAGCAACAGCUGCAGCUGAAAGUUCAACAGAAGCUUGCUCACAUUCAUGGUGCACAGCCACGUCCUUGACUGUUCUGAACUGACACUGUUAUUACAGGAGGAAAAAAAAAAGAAAAGAAAAAAAGACCUUUUUAUAAUUUAAGAGGGAAAAAACUAGUCAACUUUCCCUCUUCAAUGGCAUUUUCUUGCAGUUUUGAGCCAUGAAAUUAGAAAGAUUGGCUACAAUGUCCUAGGAAGGCUGGCAGCCAUCAGGUAUUUCUAUAGGGUCAAUGGUAUUCAGAUUCCUCUCAACAGGUAAGGGAGCGUGAUCACACGUAAUAGCAUUUCUCAGGCUGCAAGGAAAAAAAGGAAACCUUUCAAAACUCUGAAAAACAAGGAAUCAAAUUCCUACCUGCCAUGAAUAAAAUUGCUUAAGAGUUGAUGACCUCAUUGCAAAUCAGAUCAGCUCAGACUUUGGCUUCAGCUUUUCAGGAAGCAGACUCAAUCUUCUCUAAAUAUUUAAAAACGGUUGUUUGCUCUCAACCGGCAGGACUCGGCGGUGAAUCUCUUUUGUGGCAGGGCCCAAAAACGCAGCCUCAUUUUUUCACUCCGCGGCUCCUUCACGACCGCAAAUUGCGUGGACUUGGUACUUUGUCUGCUUUUAGCAGCGUUGAUUUCAGCAUGAUCAUUUCUGUUAUCUGUAUUUAUACUGCAGGAAUUUGUUUUCAAGUGCCUGGAAACUACCAGGCUGAUCAUAUUACCCCCGGAAAAGGCACACCUUUUGGGUCAGAGUGCAAAGAACAGUUGCCAUCGGGCUGAAUUAAUUCCAGUCCCGCUCCCCAGCAACAUUCGGUCGUGUAGCAGGCGUGUGGCACCUCGUCGGGUGGUGGUGGCACGAGUGUGGCAGAACUACAAACCCAGGAUUUGCACUGCUGUGUUCCCACUGCUCUCCAUUCUGAUGUUGUCUGUGCUGCACCCAGCUCAGAGCCAGGUUUUGGUUGUAAAAUUCAAGCAAAAGCCUUUCUCAACUCCACUCAGAGAAAAAGAACCUGCAUUUUUUCCACCUCUACUGCAAUAUUUUAAAUACAGCCUGAGAACAAGUAACACUACAAAAGGAACAAUUUUAGAAGGCUAAUUUGAGACGACAAAAAGACCUGUUUAGUACCCAUGAACUGUAUCAGUCACUGCUAAAGAUCAUAGCUUUUGCCAGCUAGCUUGGCUCUCUACAUUUAGAAAUAAGCCUCAAGUUCUCAAUUUUAGUUUUGCUUCGUAAAUUUCCUAGUAUUUUUGUGGGUUUUUAAAAAUACCUUCUACAUUUGUUUGCAAUCAAUACUGAGUCUCUGAACUGUGAUUUAAGUAACUGGGAAGACUGAGGGGUUUAUUGUUUUGUUUUGUUUUGAAGUAAGCUACUGUUGACCUUGUUGCAGGCCCUCUCAAAUCUUCAAUUAAUUUUUGCCCUGUACAGAUCAGGAAUGUAAGCCUACAUCUUCAGUGCCAUUCAUCUCUAUUAACAUCCUCUAAAUCUGUCCCUGACGGUGGAGCCCACAAUUUAAUGUACUUAUUAGUUCCUUCCCAGCACUUAUUUCCAGUCCUUCUUGUGGUCACGUUUGACAGGCUGAGAUUUCAGCUUGAUGAGCCGCCUGACACUGUGUAAAGAACACAAAGCACAUCAUAUUUGUAAAGCAUUAAUAACAUAAAGGAAAGGAGAGGGAGAGGGGAAAAGA